UACGUAGGGGGCAAGCGUUAUCCGGAUUUACUGGGUGUAAAGGGAGCGUAGACGGCAGUGCAAGUCUGAAGUGAAAGGCAAGGGCUCAACCCUUGGACUGCUUUGGAAACUGUGCUGCUGGAGUGUCGGAGAGGCAAGUGGAAUUCCUAGUGUAGCGGUGAAAUGCGUAGAUAUUAGGAGGAACACCAGUGGCGAAGGCGGCUUGCUGGACGAUGACUGACGUUGAGGCUCGAAAGCGUGGGUAUCGAACAGG
rnacentral:rRNA from 1 species